rnacentral:rRNA from 1 species
GAUGAACGCUGACAGAAUGCUUAACACAUGCAAGUCGAUGGGGAAGUGGUGCUUGCACCCUGGCAACCAUGGCGGACGGGUGAGUAACGCGUAAGGGACUUACCUGCAGGACUGGGAUAACAGGGGGAAACUCCUGACAAGACCGGAUAAUGUCAUGGAGCUGCAUGGCUUUAUGAUGAAAGGAGACGCCUGCGGAGAGCCUUGCGUCCUAUUAGCUAGUUGGUGAGGUAAUGGCUCACCAAGGCGAAGAUAGGUAGCCGGCCUGAGAGGGUGGACGGCCACAAGGGGACUGAGAUACGGCCCUGACUCCUACGGGAGGCAGCAGUGGGGAAUAUUGGACAAUGGGGGCAACCCUGAUCCAGCAAUUCUGUGUGCACGAAGAAGGUUUUCGGAUUGUAAAGUGCUUUCAGCAGGGAAGAAGUAAGUGACGGUACCUGCAGAAGAAGCGACGGCUAAAUACGUG